UUACUUGAACAGGAUCUGUUCUAUAGGCUCGUACCUCUGUAUCCUUGAGUUCUAAGGAGACAGGAACCUCAGUCUGGUGGAUGAACAAUGACCGUGCGAUCAGAGCGUGAUUAACUGCUUAACCUGCUUUGUUGGGUCAGGGCUGUAGAGGAUCGUUCUCAGCCGAGCUUUGGCUCGACUGGGAUGGUCGCACGGUUGUCUGACAGACUCAAAAGUUUUUAUCUUUUUGGAAUUUUUUGGGCCACUAAAUGGGCCUUUAAGGCCCACCCCAUCACUCAGACUUUAUCCAACCCGACUCUCUUAAGGCCAAUCCCACCGACUCCGACUUUACCCAACCGGGUCACGGAUUGUCUCGAUUGUUCUCAUAUUUUCUGCAUAUUCCUCCUUCCUCCAUGCGUCAGCAUUAUUCAGAGUGAGUACGCUCCACACCCGGUGCACGUUAGUAGCUUCCUACCGCUCGACCGACACUCGCUCAGGUCACAGGGACAUUCAAGGGCUGAGAGCUUGUUGUAGAAAGCAUGGCCAAGCAUCAUCCCGAUUUGAUUAUGUGCCGAAAGCAGCCAGGAAUUGCAAUUGGACGGCUUUGUGAAAAGUGUGAUGGGAAGUGUGUGAUCUGUGAUUCCUAUGUGCGUCCUUGCACACUUGUGCGAGUUUGCGAUGAAUGCAACUAUGGAUCCUUUCAGGGUCGAUGUGUCAUCUGUGGAGGAGUUGGAAUCUCAGAUGCCUACUACUGCAAAGAGUGUACACAACAAGAGAAGGAUAGGGAUGGGUGUCCGAAAAUUGUCAAUUUAGGGAGUGCCAAAACAGACCUGUUCUACGAACGGAAGAAAUAUGGUUUUAAGAAACGAUGAGAUUGACAUUGGGUAAUUUUCUUGCUACGUGUUCUCUCUGUGCCCUCAUAUUCUAUAGACUGAGAUGAUGCAUUUUAAGGUGUUGAAACAAAGUUUUGGGGCUUCAUUUUGUAUUCGUAGGACUUUGCCAGUUUCUGAGAAUUGUAGCUGGAGGGUACUAAUCAUCGUAAACCCUAUCAAUCAUGGCCUAUAAUGAAUUGAUUGAACUAUAAGUGUGGAUUCUGUAGUUUUUCUCUUACCUACUCUAUUUUUACUAAAUCUUGGUUUCCUA